UGCCCGGUCUUUGCCCCGGAUCAACUUUAAUAGUUAUGACGGUUUCCGACUCGGGAAAAUAGAUUCUUGCAUAACGACGGAAAUUUCAGAGUUUGUUCUGAAUGUCUCCAGUCGAUGUGCAAUACAAUU
ensembl:snoRNA T08B2.13 ncRNA